rnacentral:rRNA from 1 species
GUGUACUUUGACGUGCGUGUGUGAGUAUUUUUGAAGUGGUAAACCGGCUGUCUUCUGAGCACGGGUCGGAGGGGACGAGAGACAUUGGUGUUGUAAAACGUAGGUGAUAAGGAGAAAAUAAGGGUCUGACCUCAUUAGAGUUGUAAGAUAGGUGAUAAGUAUAAGUGAGCGAGCGAGGGAAACGACGCGAGAACAGGAGAAGGGUGAGGCGGACGCGGAAGUUGAAGUCCAAGUGUCUCGGUCACCUUCGACAAGUCGAGUCGAGUCGAUCGAUCGAGCAUCGUCGUAGAUCCGCGACGAUAUAUAGUGGAAUAGGAGAGAGAUCGGGUGGAGAGAGCGAGCGAGCGAGCGAGCGAGGGAGCGAUAGAGGAGAGGAGAAGUGGUAGAUUUACGGUUCUCGUGCCAUCGAUGGAACUCUUCAAGUCUAAGAGUAAGGCAACCCUUAAAGCCCUAUCUUUGACGUUCGCUCGGCAGCUCCAAACACCUUCGUCGUCGUCGUUCGAUCGCAACGCUCCCGGCCCGCCCGCCGUACCGCGGGUUCCGCCCCUUCCGGUUCGGGUUCCGGUUCCCGCUGUUCUUCUUCUUCCUUCUCUUUCAAGACGGCUGCCACGACCUGCACUGGCACCUCCGCGGCCUGAUGUGGGUGGAGUGCGAGUUCCCGUAUAGCUGCCUGUCCUAGGAGCUGCACGCCUUCGAGGACCGGCAGGUGCACCUGUGGACGGUGUAGUGGUCGAAGAGGGAGACGGUGCUCCAGGCACCCGGGGUCGAGUUCCUGUGCCACCUUUAGCGGCGGGAGUUCGGGACGGUGGAGUCGUAGCAGCUUCUCCUCAUGUGCCUCCUCGAGCGGCAGCGCGUGCAGGCGGCCGACGAGCUGCAGCAGCGGACGUGGUGGCGCAAGCCCCAGUUAUUCGGGCUCGUCUUCGGGCGCGGGCGGUGGCUACGCCGGCGGCUCCGGCGGUUCGGUCCGAGCGGGCCGCGGCACCAGCGGCCACCGCCGCCGCCGCUCCUCGGGUACAUGGGCGGCGGCUUCGACCCCCUCAAGAUGCUGAAGAAGAGGAAGAGGGUGGAGAGCGGCGGCUAGGUCAUGUAGUCUUCCAGCUGCGCGGGCAAGCAGCUACUGUUAUCUCUCCUCCUGAAGAAGGUCUAGCUACACUCCCAAACAUUGCCCUUCGGUCACUGCUAGCACCGUAGGGCUCGACCUAAGAUAGGCAGUCCCUUCGCUCGUGAGUAAUUGGUGAGGGAACAACCCAACAACGUCGUCUGCUUGGCACCUAAACUCCGUCGAAUGUUCCGAGAAUACUUCCGAAAACAACUCGUGUUGUUCAAACCUUUAGAAGGAAUGCCUAAGGCCAGUUUGUGAACCCAGCAAGGGGGACAACAACGCCUAAGUGGUAGUCACAAGGGUGGGGAAGGUUGUCUUCUACUUUGAACCCCACCGUUACCCCCACCGGACCCUUCUCUACCCUUCGUACUGGUAUCUGGCACCCACUUUCUUAAACGGUAGGAACGACGUUACGGAACAUUUUGUCGACUCCUUUCCGUUCAGGCUCUGUCCUUCCGUAAGGAUGAGGUAUCGAACAAACAUCUACAACCACAGGAAUUUCGAUAACGUCGAUAGGUCUUAAACUAGGGGCUACUGUUCUCAAGUGUACUUUUUUGUUUACCGUGUCGUUCAAGUCAAGGCGUGUGUGUUGUUUAACCCCUAUACUUUUAUUGCCAUUGUUUUCUGUUUCGUCUACGUUCAAGAUUCAGUCUACAAUUCAAUCUACCUUCAGUCCGAGGUCCUCAUAGAAAACUACUCGAACGAUUCUCCUUGGACGACUUCCCUUAGUGACGACUACUCUCACGUUGUCAUGUACUAUGACGAUGAGAACCACACCAACAACACUUCGUAACACCCAUAUGUCGACAACAGGUUCAAGGCAACCUACGAGUUGACUGUUGGCAACAAGGUCGCGUCGUCCUGUAAGUGUAACUUCUGGUCGGCCUCCCUCCAUCGUUACGAGAGUUGCAGUUGUCGAAUUCCUACGACGAAGUCUUCAGUACACAAGUCAGUGGACCUCGUCAAGUCGCCAACGUGUCAAGACUAGGACUUCUCUUGCUCCGAUGGUGUUUAAAACAGGCCUUUUAUUAAUGUCUAUCGUACGUCUUAGAACUUCCACUCCGAGGUUCUCUUUGUUCUGGUUAGUCUACCCUCGAACCACGAACGACCCAUGUCGUAGAUGUCUUAGUUUGAAGACUCUUCCGACUACCAUUCUUUUCGCUGCUCAGAUUCCUACAAGGAUGUCAUUUUCCGGACCCUUUUGUUAAACCAGUCGAAUUCCUCUAGUUCUUCUUCAGUCUACUGUUCUCACCUUUCUCACGCAGGUGUUUUCUAUCAUGAAGCGGUUUAUGUUUGCUACGUGUAAGUCUGUUGUGACGGUCGUGUUUCCUCCUAUUUCUCCGAUAAGACGUCUUUCGCGAUUGUCUUCGACGAAAGGUUUCUGAUUUUCUUAGACUCUGACCUGAAGUACGAUUCAGGGGGCUACUUAACUAACUCUACCGUAUGUUUAUAAUACUACUAUGACGGGACGGUUUUAACCAUCGUCUGAAACCGAGUGAACUCGAAAGAGGACAACUACCUUCCUGUAACUGUCUAAAGUACGUGUGGUCUCCGGAGGUCUACGCGAGUGACCCUGUUCACCAACUCGAAAGACUAUUCGAGGGCGUAUAUGUCAGUGACACAUAUGUGCUCUACCAUCAAGCUCGUAAAUUCGUGUAUCAAGCACGUCAAUAACGUCGACAGCUACUAUAUUUACUGUACCGAGUUAGUCAACGUAGUACAAAUUUAUAUAACGACCCUGGUAAAGGUCUUCUUUUAUUACUACAGUUCACGGCUCUCCUAGUAUUAGAGUCCGUCUUCACCAACCUCCAGAAAAACUACUUCUCUAAGCCGAACCGUACCUUUCUGCUUAUAUCGGAACUAGAUUCUUUCAUACGGUAAGAAGCACCGGAGACGGUAUUCCAUCCUGAACUCGAUCAAUGAUUUCUGAUGCUGUACCUAUGUGGUGUACGUAAGUCUUUCAGACUAUAGUAGUCAUAACAAGGGUAGAUGUUCGUACAACGUACGAGUAGUCGUCUACCAGCGUGGGACAACCUCAGUAGGUUCUGAAAGGACCUGUUUCCUUUUGAACUCCUACGACAAUUGAUGCCGUGUUUCCGAGAACGUUUUGACCAACGACAAACACCAGGCAUAGUAUCUUACUGGCGUCCUCGUAUGUCGGAGAACCGUCAUCACGAAAUAGUAUGACCCCUGAAGUUGGUCCGUUGAUAGAUAGUUGUCUUCCGAAAUCUAUAAUUGCUCUCCCUUGAACCUGAACUAGUGGGUCUAUGAUACUUUUCGAUACCUCUAGAACGACAAAAGAUGAUAGCGGACGUUGUAUGUCUUAAUCGUGAUUUCAUACACUUAGCACGGGAUAUAGAAAACGUGGACUGUACACCGGGCAGAGUGGGAUUAUGACGACGUUGAAUGUAGUUGCAACGAUACUACCUUCUUCCCAACCCAUUACAGGUACAUCGUGAGGCAAUGGACGUACUCCGCGAUUUUACAUUGGUUGCCGACGAACCACAACUAGUGUAUGUCUGCCGACGAUCAAUAGUACGAUAACGAUAACGAAACAGAAAUUACCUUCGUAUGAGCAACUCACAGGUUGUACUUUUUUGGUGAGAUGCUUAUGAAGUUAGUUUCGAGCCUAGUCUUCUAGAAGCCUGUGUCCUACGACGACGGACCGACCUUAUGAAACUCAGGUUCCGUGAUCUCGUCGUCCUUCGUCGUGCGUUGCCAUGAGGUUUCGGACUACGAAGUUAUCGUUCGUCUCCGGUAGACUCACAUAGUCUAGAAGAUCUAAUAUAGUUAGGUCUACUACUCGAGUUCCGAUUCCUUUACGUUUUCUUUGUUCGGGCACGAUUCUAUUUUCCAGCAUAGCCCGUUUUGGGUAGACUUAAUCGGCUACUACUUCUAGUUUCCUCGGGAGGUGGAUUGUCACUGGCAAGUAGUUGACUCUUCCUUUUGAGACUUCAGUUUCUCUUUAAUUGACUCUUCUUUUUAAGAGUUCAGUUUCUCUUACCUUGGUAACAACUCGUACACUUUCACUUUGACCUUCUCCUUUUUGGUCCAUUGUGACACCAGGUGUACGGAGUUCUACUGAUAUGACUUCUCUUGUAUAGACUCCUCCCCACCGUUCUCCGACAAGGUUUCCCCGCAUGGUGCCCCUUAGCGUUUUGACCACGUUCACACUCCUCCGGUUUGGACAGUUUCUAGUCAUGUUUACGGUAGUUAUUAUCACUCUUACCUUCUAUGUUUCCGUCUCAAGGUAGGUUGAGAAGGGGAGCUCAAAGUGGAUUACUCCGACGUCGAAGACAACGAAGGUCGGGAGAACGUUUCUUUAACCGCUUCUCAAACUCGAAGUUAAGGUUUCGUCCAUUAGGAUGAUAGAGUAGUUUGUCACCCCUCUUAAGUGGGUUUGGAUUUAGGUACCGUCGUUCGAAUCGGUGGUGGGGACGUCGACGGUUCCACUACGGUAGACGUCGUGGUUAACAGUCAGUUUGUCAUUCCUUCAGUGACAGUAUGUUCCUUCACCGUUAUCGACGUGGUCCUUGAGAACGGUUUCGCAACUUACUACACGUAUGUCUCGUUUUCCUACGUUGACUUGGUCGACAUUUAUAACUUUCACGGUUCCGAGGGUUUCUUUCGUUACAAGCGGGAAGACUUCUCUUUUUACCCCGUUAUGUUCACAGUGGUUUCCUAUUAUUAAACGUUCAUAGUUUUCGUUGUCUACUCGUGUUUAGAGGGUCAAGACUAUGACUUGUUCGGUUACCAAACCAUCCUAGUUUAGUUCGACUCUUCUGGAGUCUAAGUCGUCUCUGUAGAUGUCUCUUCUUGGUUAGUGGUCGUCGUGAUCGCCUGCAGGGUUUACUUCUUCGUCGUUGAAACUGACUCCGUUUACUAAGAAGGAGGUUACUACUACUUUCUCCAGGUCCUCUCCUAUUAGUUCUUGUCGACAGAUCACCCCGGCUUUUACUCUUUAGAAGUGGUAGACCUUCACUUUUCUUACUAAGUGGUCAUCUUCCACGCUUUCUCUGUCGGUCAUUUGAAUUACGACGGCGACGAGGUAAGUCAGGUCGGUGGCACGGUCGAAAACCAAGUUACCGGCAUGGUCCAAAGUCUCUUGUGCCUCCUGAUAACGGUAGUGGUCGGUUACACGGGGGUUACGACCGGUAGGGAGAGGCAUUCGUGGGAGUGGUCAGACGUUGGCGUUCCCAGGGAAUACCAGGUGCAGAUCGGCCUCCCAAGUUGUCUAGUCCCGUGGCCCACGGAGCAUUGUUCGGACACAACGGCUCACCACUUCAAGAAGGUCUCCGUCGGUGUAGGGGAUUUCACUACUUAGGAGUACGUCGCCUCAAACACGGUCCAGUUAGAGCUUCAGGACUACCGGUAGGUAGUAGAGGAUUACUUGGAGACCGUAGCGGUCGACCAUAAGUUCGUAGUGUCCUACCCGAAGGUAGUAGAGGUCUAUCAUGACAGCUCAGUGGGUUCUGACGAAGGGGUGUUCACAGACUUUGAUCACUCUGAUCAGGACUUCCUUUACUAUGUAGAUCACCUUAACUACAACUUCGACUCUGACUCUCGUUCUUGUGCCUCCUCUUCUUGUUGGUACACCUUACACUCCUGUCACUUCACUUCGGACUACUUUGAUAUCAAAGACCUCCACGACUUCAACUACGUUGCCGGGGCUAUCUACGAGUUCUACUACGAAGUCGGGGUUUUCUACGAGGUCUACUAAGUUCGCACUGACUUUUCGGCUUCAGGACCCGACUAAUGUCACUACCUCUUCAGCUCCGGCAAGUCCAACGCUCGACUCUUUUCCACCAGAAGAGUCGGAGAGUCCAUCAAUGUCCUUCAAAAUAAGUAUGUGUCUACUCGGGAGGAAUGCCCGAUAUUUUCAUACGAUUACGUUUGACUGUGCGACGACAAAAACGACUUUCCUCCUCUACGACCAAAAGAGCAAUCUCUUAAUCAACGAAAGACUAGAUAAAGUACCAAAGAUCAUGGAUAAACAAAGACGGCGGGACGUGCCGACGUGGCCACGAUACCAUAACGUUCCCAAGCGUAACGGUACCUUGAAAUUUCCAGAAGGCUCACAGGUUGACAGUAGUAUCACUGGAACAAAGUCGAACGAAACAGUAACGUUUCCUCGAACACUUCUAGUCUCUCCACCAUUUGUGCGGUAGCAAGGGGUGUAAAACGAGCCGCAAAAGUAAAGGAAACAGCUACUUGACCUGUGUGACGGCUGAACUGUAGAAACAUGCAUCAAUAAAGAAAACUUAAAACUAUUUAAUCUGACAACAUUUCUUUUAGCUAUGAAGGGACUCGUCCUUCAAACAUAGUUCACAGGGACAUUAGUCCAACAACGAAAAACCUGUUAAAACGAACAUGUUCUUAGGUACUCUGCGGCUAGGUAAAACACUAAUAAUGAGUUAAGUUAAGAUAAGCUUCUUAUUUGUACGGUCACUGUGAGACGAAGUCGUUGAUUUUGUUUUCCUAUCGUCGUAACACAGUUACUUUUUCUGGUUAAUAGAAAACAUGUUGCUGACUCUCUUUUCCUAGUAACUCAGAUAGUUCUUCCGGUUACCCAGAGACGACGUCGCUGAACGACCUUUUCUAUCACGGCAACCCAGAUAGUUUUUAUAGUUACCACUCUUCUUAUUAUAGUAGUUUUCCGAGGGUCGAAUCCCACCCUAUUAAGUGAUGUAUAACUUAGAAGUUACUGUUACGUCGAAGUCGUAUAUCAAUGACUCGACCUGUAUUGAGAAGAAUUACACGUCUUGUAAACGCUCAUAGAACUGGUCUUGUGUCAAGAACGAUGACUUAUAGACGUCAAGUGACCGUGUAUAGGUAUCCUAGG